rnacentral:rRNA from 1 species
UUGUUAGAUAGCCAUGCAUGUNUAGGAAAGCCGCUUUAGCGGCGAGACUGCGGACGGCUCAUUAAAUCGGUUAUGACUCCACUGGGGCCCGACUCUCCACGUGGAUAACGUGCGGUAACUCCGGUGCUAAUACAUGCAACAAGGCUCCGACCGCGGCUUCGGCCGCGGGAAGGGCGCACUUAUUAGGCGAAAACCAAUCGGCUUCGGCCGUUGGUGGACGACACCCGAGUAAUUGCCGCCGAUCGCACGGCCUCGAGCCGGCGACGCCUCCACUGAGUUUCUGAUCUAUCAUGCUGUCGACGGUUGGUGCUAUGCCAACCGUGGCGUUAACGGAUAACAGAGAAUCUGGGUUCGAUUCUGGAGAGGCCGCAUGAGAAACGGCGACCACUUCCAAGGAAGGCAGCAGGCACGCAAAUUACCCACUUCGGACACCGAGAGGUAGUGACGAACAAUACCGAUGCGGUGCACUUACGUGUCGCCGUAAUCGGAAUGAGUACACUUCAAAUCCUUUAACGAGGAUCCACUGGAGGGCAAGCCUGGUGCCAGCAGCCGCGGUAAUUCCAGCUCCAGCAGCGUAUAUUUAUAUUGCUGCGUUUAAAAAGCUCGUAGUUGAAGCGUCAGACGCGGGAGGACGGACGGCCGCACUGGUCGCUUCUCGUCCGACCGAGCCAGGCGCAGAGGGCGUCCGUCGGUUGCACUUCACCGUGUGAUCGCGGCGUCGCUGCACGUUCACCUUGAAGAAAUUGAACCGCUUAGAGGGGGCGAGCAGCUUGUACAGCUCAGCAUGGUAUGAUGGAACAUGGGCUCGUACUCAUUUUGUUGGUUUUGGAGUUCGCGAGCCAAUGAUUAANCAGGGACUGCCGGGGGCAUUCGUACUUCAAAGCUGAAACUUAAAGGAAUUGACGGAAGGGCACCACCAGGAGUGGAGCCUGCGGCUUAAUUUGACUCAACACGGGAAACCUCACCCGGCCCGAACACUGUGAUGACAGACAGGUUGAGAGCUCUUUCUCGAUUCAGUGGUUGGUGGUGCAUGGCCGUUCUUAGUUCGUGGAGCGAUCUGUCUGGUUAAUUCCGAUAACGAACGAGACUCUUGCCUGCUAAAUACGCCGGCGUCGACUCAGGUCGGCGACCGCAUGCUUCUUAGAGGGACAAGCGGCUUUUAGUCGCGUGAAGCGGAGAGCAAUAACAGGUCAGUGAUGCCCUCAGAUGUUCGGGGCCGCACGCGCGCUACACUGCUUGCAUCAGCGUGUGUCACCCUCGCCGGCUGGCGUGGGCAAUCCGUUGAACCGCAAGCGUGCUAGGGAUCGGAGAUUGCAAUUAUUCUCCGUCAACGAGGAAUUCCUUGUACUUGCGAGUCAUCAGCUCGCGGGGAAUCUGUCCCUGCCCUUUGUACACACCGCCCGUCGCUACUACCGAUUGAGUGGUUUAGUGAGGCCCACGGACUGCGCGCGGCACCCGGCGCUUCGGCGUCGCGUCGCGAGCGGAAAGUGAGACGAACUUGAUCACUUCUAGGAAGUAAAAGUCGUAACAAGGUUUUCGUAGGUGAACCUGGGGAAAGGAUCAA